rnacentral:rRNA from 1 species
AGCUUGACACUGAACAUUGAGCCUUGAUGUGUAGGAUAGGUGGGAGGCUUUGAAGUGUGGACGCCAGUCUGCAUGGAGCCGACCUUGAAAUACCACCCUUUAAUGUUUGAUGUUCUAACGUUGACCCCUAAUCGGGGUUGCGGACAGUGUCUGGUGGGUAGUUUGACUGGGGCGGUCUCCUCCUAAAGAGUAACGGAGGAGCACGAAGGUUGGCUAAUCCUGGUCGGACAUCAGGAGGUUAGUGCAAUGGCAUAAGCCAGC